rnacentral:rRNA from 1 species
UUCCUACGGGAGGCAGCAGUGGGGAAUAUUGGGCAAUGGGCGCAAGCCUGACCCAGCAACGCCGCGUGAAGGAAGAAGGCUUUCGGGUUGUAAACUUCUUUUCUGGGGGACGAACAAAUGACGGUACCCCAGGAAUAAGCCACGGCUAACUACGUGCCAGCAGCCGCGGUAAUACGUAGGUGGCAAGCGUUAUCCGGAUUUAUUGGGUGUAAAGGGCGUGUAGGCGGGAAUGCAAGUCAGAUGUGAAAACUAUGGGCUCAACCCAUAGCCUGCAUUUGAAACUGUAUUUCUUGAGUGCUGGAGAG